rnacentral:rRNA from 1 species
GACGAACGCUGGGGCGUGGAUUAGGCAUGCAAGUCGAACGGUAGGAUACCUUCGGGUAGUCUGAGAGUGGCGAACGGGUGAGUAACACGUAGGUGAUCUACCCUCAAGAUUGGGACAACCCAGGGAAACUUGGGCUAAUACCGGAUGAAAGCAGCAGUGAUGUUGUUUGAAAGGUGGCGUAAGCUGCCGUUUGGGGAUGAGCCUGCGCUCUAUUAGUUAGUUGGCGGGGUAAAGGCCCACCAAGGCGAUGAUAGAUAGGCGGCCUUAACGGGUGGUCGCCCACACUGGGAUUGAGAUACGGCCCAGACUCCUACGGGAGGCAGCAGUCGAGAAUAGUCUACAAUGGCCGAAAGGCUGAUAGUGCGACGCCGCGUGAACGAAGAAGCCCUUCGGGGUGUAAAGUUCUUUUAUAUGUGAGCAGUGCUUUCUAUGUGAACAGCAUGGGGAGAGAGAUAUUAGCAUAUGAAUAAGCAACGGCUAACUCCGUG